CUUUUCUGCUUCAGUUACAGAGGAUAAUCUCUACCAGAAAACAUGGGGUAUGAAGUUAGAUCUGUCUAGAAGCACAAGCAAAUCUGAAUCCAAGGAUGGAGGGUAGGAUCUGGGCUCCCAGACCACAGGAGAAGAUGAAGACAGCACACCGUGAGCCCUGGACCACACUCUUUGGAACGGCUGUAUCUAAGGAGAGAUUGCUCUCUGCCUCAGACACUAUCGCAAGAUAAUUAACAGAACCACUGCUGGAGACCGAUGACAGCACAAGCAGCUGAUACCUGUGGCAGGAACUCCCUGCCAUCCCAGUGCCAUCGAACUGUGAAGGAAAAGGACACGCAGUGCUGUGCAACACUAAUUUUACUAAACAAGUGCAUUAUUUAUAGCAGGCAUUACAGGGCUGUAUUUAUCUAUCAUGUAACAGAAAUAAAGCAAAUGGUUUCUAAAACACUUUCAACUCUUCUGGCAACUAUUUUAGACUCUGUGACAAAGUAUCUCUAAAUAAGAUCACCCAGGGUCCCUAUGAGCAGCUACAAUAGUGUGCAUAUUGACAUGAA